rnacentral:rRNA from 1 species
AAACUUUCAACAACGGAUCUCUAGGCUCUUGCAUCGAUGAAGAACGCAGUGAAAUGCGAUAAGUAAUGUGAAUUGCAGAAUCUCGUGAAUCAUUGAAUCUUUGAACGCACAUUGCGCCCUUUGGUAUUCCAUAGGGCAUGCCUGUCUGAGCGUCA